AAACUACGUUAAACGGUGUGAAUUGCAGAACACGCAGAACACUGGAACUUUGAACGCACAUGGCAGGUUAGUGUUAUAACUAACCUUUGUCUGUGUGAGGGUUGUAAUAAGAGAAUCAAGGCUAAUUUUUGAAGAGCGGGGGAGGUUGCCUAUUGAAUGUGUGACAUGCCCGCUGAUAGCGUUAAAAACACACUUGUGUUGUGCCUCUGGCCGGCGUCGGAGGAUAACAGCAACAGAGUGUUAAGGAUGGAGGAGUUUGCUGAAGUUGAUUCGCUGUCGAGAGCGUAAUCAGAAACAGUAGUUCCCUAUCAUUGCUUUCUUUCUCACAACCUCACAUCAGGCAAGAUUACCCGCUUAAUUUAA
rnacentral:misc_RNA from 1 species